CAGAGCAUUCAAAUCGGUGCUUCAAUCUAUUUUUUGAUUUGAGGAAAACAAUGCUUUCUCUGUGUUGUUGGCUUAUGUAUUUUGCAACUUGUUCAUCAGGGUUCACUGAAUUAUAUUAGUUCCCAGGUGCAGCAACAACAUUUGGUUAUUCCUUCAAUGCAAAGCCAUGAAUAGAUGCUUCAACGAAUCUCAAAUUUUCACUUGAUGGAGUCACUUUUGUCCUUGCAGUGGCACGGCUUUUCUCUAUUGAUUAGUAUAGAAACCGAAUCAAUGGGAAGCAAGAAGUUAUGAUAGGAUACUCAGACUCAGGAAAAGAUGCCGGUCGUCUUUCUGCGGCUUGGGUGCUGUACAAUGCUCAAGAGGAGCUCAUAAAGGUUGCGAAGGAUGUCAGUGGAUAUGUAAGCAUUGUAUAUAUAACCUAUUCUAUGAUGUCUGCUGGAUAUUUAGAUCAGCAUCAUAUGAUUGUGUCUCUAAUACUAUUGUUAUUUAUAUAAUAAGACUUUGAUCCCUUAUGAUGGCAUA